UGGGGAAUAUUGCACAAUGGGGGAAACCCUGAUGCAGCAACGCCGCGUGAGUGAUGACGGUCUUCGGAUUGUAAAGCUCUGUCUUUAGGGACGAUAAUGACGGUACCUAAGGAGGAAGCCACGGCUAACUACGUGCCAGCAGCCGCGGUAAUACGUAGGUGGCAAGCGUUGUCCGGAUUUACUGGGCGUAAAGGGAGCGUAGGCGGAUCUUUAAGUGGGAUGUGAAAUACCCGGGCUCAACCUGGGUGCUGCAUUCCAAACUGGAAGUCUAGAGUACAGGAGGGGAAAGCGGAAUUCCUAGUGUAGCGGUGAAAUGCGUAGAGAUUAGGAAGAACACCAGUGGCGAAGGCGGCUUUCUGGACUGUAACUGACGCCGAGGCUCGAAAGCCAGGGUAGCAAACG
rnacentral:rRNA from 1 species